UUCGUUUAAGAUUCCGGAAAACUUUAUUGUCUUUGUAUGUGGGUUUCAGUCGCUAUCGCUCGAGUCCGGUCACCGCUGCUGCUUGAGGUGGCUGCCGGGCUGCCACCGAACCGGCUCAGAGACCGCUGCUAUUUCGGUUCAGCCGUUCUUUCUUAGUUUCAGUCGGGAUCUGAUGAUUGCGUGUCGCAUAAGUGUUGAUGUGACCACUGUGCCGUUCCUUUCAUUUCAGAAUUAGUAUCCGGGCUUAUAUGUGGUGUUGAGGCUGUUUCUGCUAUUGAGAAAAACAAGCGGAGCUAGGAUUUUGGUUGUUGGUUUCGGGUCGAGACGAAAGGAGUUGGUUAACGAGUUUGGAUUGUGAUUUCAACGUAUCGAGGUAGGGGCUUUUUAUACAAACUGAUUUAUUUUAAAGUGGAAAUUGUUAUAAAUA